UUCCAACGUCAUAUCUGCGCAGAACGGAUCCAAAUUGGAUCUCUACGAGCAUACCUUGGCUGCGUUCGUAACUUACUGGCAGUACUGCCAGCAUGACGUCAUUAUAGAGUGCUAUGCAAGCGUUCCGUUUUUACUAGUUCAUUACGCUUACUGUGAAAUUGUGGAAAUGGAACGAGAUUGAACAAUACUGCAUACAACUGCAUAUGACGCUGUCAUAUAAUAAUAUAAGAAAAUGGAAAGUUUUUAUAAUUAAUAAUACAUGCACAUAUAAUGGAAUCAAGUAAUGAUGAAUCUGAUAGUGACUCUGAUGCAAUGAAGAAAAUGUUAAUAUUAAAGAAAAAUUACAUCGGAAUACAUUCUUUUUAUAUUAGAAUUAAUAGAGUUAAUCUUAGAAAGAGAUGGAAAAUCAGAUAGAUGCAUCUCUCCUGAAAAGCAAUUAUUAAAGCAAUAAUUAUUAAAGCAAUAAUUUCGUAUAUAAUAAUGUUUAUAUAAACUUGGUGUAGUGCGAAUGACCGAAUCUGUUAUAUUAAACUUUAUUUUUAUCUCGCAAUGCUUUUUGUGCGUUUUCUUUAUUAUUAUUUUAUAUUGAAUAUUUGUUUCUGCAUCGAGUAAGGUGUAAGUAACUCUUCUUUCUCGAACGUCACCAUUUUGUACUGUGACUGCUGCGUCUUUUUAGCUACAGUAGCUGCAGCAGAAAGUGACGACAAAAUUUAUGACGUCAUUAUUCUAUUGUGCUAUCGUAGCACACUGGAAUGAAUUUCGAAACGGCAUUACAGUACUGCCAGUACUGGCAGUAAGUUACGGAACGCAGCCCUUAUCCCCUUACCAUAGAACAAUGAUUCGUCUCAAGUCAGUUUGGACUUUAUGAUCUACAUGAAAUAUUUACUUUAUAUUAGGGAGAUUAUAAUUUGAUAUUAUAGCCUGAAGAUAUUGUCUCGAUCACCGUCAAUGCGUUUUCUUCACAUUAUAGAAUUUUAAAAUUAACUCUUUAAAUUCAGUUUAUUUUUUUAACAGUUUUCGAGUGCAUUGGGUUUUCAUUAGGCUGAUGGUAGAGAACGAAAUGUUGCGCUGUCUCGUUCUUUGCCAUCAGCCUUAAUCUGAGACAACGUGCAUUAUUUUGUAAAACAAAUGAAAUUAAAAUAUAAUAUUUAUUACAUUAUAUUAAUGAAUUAUAUUAAAAAUUCAUUUCUUUAUUAAAGCAUUUUGUUAUAUCUUUCUGCUAUUACUUGAUAAAAUCAAUUUUAUAAAUAUUAUUGAAAUAGACUGGAAAUCUCAUCAAAUUCCAAUUUUUAAUAAAUGUGUUCAAAUUGUCAUAAAUGGCAUUAGUAACACGAAAACAAUAAAAUUAAAACAUUCCUUUUGCUUGAGAAUUUUCAUACGGUGUAAGAUCUUGUAAAUUCAAUUAAAAAAUAAAUAAUUAUUUUUGUUAUAAUUAUUUAUUAUUGUAUAUGCUUAAGAUGAUAAACAUGUAACAACUGCCAAUACAAGUUGCACUUAAGCUAUUCUUAUUUACAGUUGAUUAAAACUAGUUUAAAAGCCAAAAUAGAUUACAUAUAUAUAGAAUAGAUCUAAACGAAAUUGACAUGUUUCUAUAUAG